rnacentral:rRNA from 1 species
AGGUAAGCUACUAAGAGCGAAUGGUGGAUGCCUUGACUGGUAAAGGCGAUGAAGGACGUACUAGACUGCGAUAAGCUACGGGGAGCUGUCAAGAAGCUUUGAUCCGUAGAUUUCCGAAUGGGGCAACCCAAUGUAUAGAGAUAUACAUUACCUAUAUAGGAGCGAACGAGGGGAAUUGAAACAUCUUAGUACCCUCAGGAAAAGAAAUCAAUAGAGAUUGCGUCAGUAGCGGCGAGCGAAAGCGCAAGAGGGCAAACCCAGUGCUUGCACUGGGGGUUGUAGGACUGCAAUGUGCAAGAGCUGAGUUUAGCAGAACAUUCUGGAAAGUAUAGCCAUAGAGGGUGAUAGUCCCGUAUGCGAAAAACAAAGCUUAGCUAGCAGUAUCCUGAGUAGGGCGGGACACGAGGAAUCCUGUCUGAAUCCGGGUCGACCACGAUCCAACCCUAAAUACUAAUACCAGAUCGAUAGUGCACAAGUACCGUGAGGGAAAGGUGAAAAGAACUGAGGUGAUCAGAGUGAAAUAGAACCUGAAACCAUUUGCUUACAAUCAUUCAGAGCACUAUGUAGCAAUACAGUGUGAUGGACUGCCUUUUGCAUAAUGAGCCUGCGAGUUGUGGUGUCUGGCAAGGUUAAGCAAACGCGAAGCCGUAGCGAAAGCGAGUCUGAAUAGGGCGCUUAGUCAGAUGCUGCAGACCCGAAACGAAGUGAUCUAUCCAUGAGCAAGUUGAAGCUAGUGUAAGAACUAGUGGAGGACUGAACCCAUAGGCGUUGAAAAGCCCCGGGAUGACUUGUGGAUAGGGGUGAAAGGCCAAUCAAACUUCGUGAUAGCUGGUUCUCUCCGAAAUAUAUUUAGGUAUAGCGUUGUGUCGUAAUAUAAGGGGGUAGAGCACUGAAUGGGCUAGGGCAUACACCAAUGUACCAAACCCUAUCAAACUCCGAAUACCUUAUAUGUAAUCACAGCAGUCAGGCGGCGAGUGAUAAAAUCCGUCGUCAAGAGGGAAACAACCCAGACUACCAGCUAAGGUCCCUAAAUCUUACUUAAGUGGAAAACGAUGUGAAGUUACUUAAACAACCAGGAGGUUGGCUUAGAAGCAGCCAUCCUUUAAAGAAAGCGUAAUAGCUCACUGGUCUAGUGAUUUUGCGCGGAAAAUAUAACGGGGCUAAAGUAAGUACCGAAGCUGUAGACUUGCACACAACUUAGAUUAUUUAAGUUUAGAAUAUGAGAAACUAAGUUAUGUUUAGUUAUAUUUUUACUGAUUUUUAUAGAGUAAAGAUAGAAAUAAAACUUAGUAAAAUCAGUAAAAAUAUUCUUAGACUAAAGUUAAGUAGUUUAAGUUGUGUGCAAGUGGUAGGAGAGCGUUCUAUUUGCGUCGAAGGUAUACCGGUAAGGAGUGCUGGAGCGAAUAGAAGUGAGCAUGCAGGCAUGAGUAGCGAUAAUUAAUGUGAGAAUCAUUAACGCCGUAAACCCAAGGUUUCCUACGCGAUGCUCGUCAUCGUAGGGUUAGUCGGGUCCUAAGUCGAGUCCGAAAGGGGUAGACGAUGGCAAAUUGGUUAAUAUUCCAAUACCAACAUUAGUGUGCGAUGGAAGGACGCUUAGGGCUAAGGGGGCUAGCGGAUGGAAGUGCUAGUCUAAGGUCGUAGGAGGUUAUACAGGCAAAUCCGUAUAACAAUACUCCGAGAGCUGAAAGGCUUUUUGAAGUCUUCGGAUGGAUAGAAGAACCCCUGAUGCCGUCGAGCCAAGAAAAGUUUCUAAGUUUAGCUAAUGUUGCCCGUACCGUAAACCGACACAGGUGGGUGGGAUGAGUAUUCUAAGGCGCGUGGAAGAACUCUCUUUAAGGAACUCUGCAAAAUAGCACCGUAUCUUCGGUAUAAGGUGUGGUUAGCUUCGUACUAGGAUUUACUCCGAAAGCGAAGAAACUUACAACAAAGAGUCCCUCCCGACUGUUUACCAAAAACACAGCACUCUGCUAACUCGUAAGAGGAUGUAUAGGGUGUGACGCCUGCCCGGUGCUCGAAGGUUAAUUGAUGGGGUUAGCAUUAGCGAAGCUCUUGAUCGAAGCCCGAGUAAACGGCGGCCGUAACUAUAACGGUCCUAAGGUAGCGAAAUUCCUUGUCGGUUAAAUACCGACCUGCAUGAAUGGCGUAACGAGAUGGGAGCUGUCUCAAAGAGGGAUCCAGUGAAAUUGUAGUGGAGGUGAAAAUUCCUCCUACCCGCGGCAAGACGGAAAGACCCCGUGGACCUUUACUACAGCUUGACACUGCUACUUGGAUAAGAAUGUGCAGGAUAGGUGGGAGGCUUUGAGUAUAUGACGCCAGUUGUAUAUGAGCCAUUGUUGAGAUACCACUCUUUCUUAUUUGGGUAGCUAACCAGCUUGAGUUAUCCUCAAGUGGGACAAUGUCUGGUGGGUAGUUUGACUGGGGCGGUCGCCUCCCAAAUAAUAACGGAGGCUUACAAAGGUUGGCUCAGAACGGUUGGAAAUCGUUCGUAGAGUAUAAAGGUAUAAGCCAGCUUAACUGCAAGACAUACAAGUCAAGCAGAGACGAAAGUCGGUCUUAGUGAUCCGGUGGUUCUGUGUGGAAGGGCCAUCGCUCAAAGGAUAAAAGGUACCCCGGGGAUAACAGGCUGAUCUCCCCCAAGAGCUCACAUCGACGGGGAGGUUUGGCACCUCGAUGUCGGCUCAUCGCAUCCUGGGGCUGGAGCAGGUCCCAAGGGUAUGGCUGUUCGCCAUUUAAAGCGGUACGCGAGCUGGGUUCAGAACGUCGUGAGACAGUUCGGUCCCUAUCUGCCGUGGGCGUAAGAAGAUUGAAGAGAUUUGACCCUAGUACGAGAGGACCGGGUUGAACAAACCACUGGUGUAGCUGUUGUUCUGCCAAGAGCAUCGCAGCGUAGCUAAGUUUGGAAAGGAUAAACGCUGAAAGCAUCUAAGCGUGAAGCCAACUCUAAGAUGAAUCUUCUCUAAGCUCUCUAGAAGACUACUAGUUUGAUAGGCUGGGUGUGUAAUGGAUGAAAGUCCUUUAGCUGACCAGUACUAAUAGAGCGUUUGGCUUAUCUUU